rnacentral:rRNA from 1 species
GAUGAACGCUGGCGGCGUGCCUAAUACAUGCAAGUCGAGCGAACGGACGAGAAGCUUGCUUCUCUGAUGUUAGCGGCGGACGGGUGAGUAACCCGUGGAUAACCUACCUAUAAGACUGGGAUAACUUCGGGAAACCGGAGCUAAUACCGGAUAAUAUUUUGAACCGCAUGGUUCCAACGUGAAAGACGGUCUUGCUGUCACUUAUAGAUGGAUCCGCGCUGCAUUAGCUAGUUGGUAAGGUAACGGCUUACCAAGGCAACGAUGCAUAGCCGACCUGAGAGGGUGAUCGGCCACACUGGAACUGAGACACGGUCCAGACUCCUACGGGAGGCAGCAGUAGGGAAUCUUCCGCAAUGGGCGAAAGCCUGACGGAGCAACGCCGCGUGAGUGAUGAAGGUCUUCGGAUCGGAAAACUCUGUUAUUAGGGAAGAACAUAUGUGUAAGUAACUGUGCACAUCUUGACGGUACCUAAUCAGAAAGCCACGGCUAACUACGUG